rnacentral:rRNA from 1 species
AACGAACGCUGGCGGCAGGCCUAACACAUGCAAGUCGAGCGAAGCCUUCGGGCUCAGCGGCGGACGGGUGAGUAACGCGUGGGAACGUGCCCUUUGGUACGGAAUAGCCCCGGGAAACUGGGAGUAAUACCGUAUGUGGUCGAGAGACGAAAGAUUUAUCGCCAAAGGACCGGCCCGCGUUGGAUUAGGUAGUUGGUGGGGUAAUGGCCUACCAAGCCGACGAUCCAUAGCUGGUUUGAGAGGAUGAUCAGCCACACUGGGACUGAGACACGGCCCAGACUCCUACGGGAGGCAGCAGUGGGGAAUCUUAGACAAUGGGGGAAACCCUGAUCUAGCCAUGCCGCGUGAUCGAUGAAGGCCUUAGGGUUGUAAAGAUCUUUCAGUGGGGAAGAUAAUGACUGUACCCACAGAAGAAGCCCCGGCUAACUCCGUGCCAGCCGCCGCGGUAA